ACUUUAAGCCUCUGAUGAAGCCUGAAUUAGUAGAGACAUUUGAAAAUGUUGAUGAAUGCCAACAGCUCAGAUGGAAAAGA
rfam:Tupaia chinensis contig234964, whole genome shotgun sequence.